CUCGAUGACGCUGUAGCUCUCCACGUAAUCGACGUGUUCGUCCUGCGGCUCGCUGGCGAUCUGCCGCAGCGUGGCCUUGUCCACGCUGCCCACUCCGAUGGCGAACAGCUCGACGCCGCUGGCCCGGGCCCGCGCAGACACGUCCUGCACGCUGUCCUGGGGCCUCCCGUCUGUCACCACGAUGACCACCUGCGACACGCGGGGCGGUGUGACACCGGGCUCCCGGAAGCCCACGGGACUGUCCAGGAGAGGAGGCUGAGGCCCGGAGAGGCGGGAGGACUGCCGGGUCGCACAGCCAGGCGGCACCCGGGGGAAGAGGACCCGGCUGGCCGAAGAGGAGACCCGUUUCCUCUGACUGAGAGACGUGGCUGGGGGGCUUUCCAUCUGCUUCGCCUCCCUCGGGCAGGCAGCUCUGAGAUGCCCGGAGGGAUGUGAUGCCCCAUCGCCAAAUUGGGGUCUCUAAGGUCAGGGCCAUGCCUUCCCCUCAGACUGAGGCGGCUGAGGGCAGGGUCCUCAGGCUGAUGGCUGUGGGAGUCGUGCCACGCCCCUCGUGCCCCCGGGAGGCCCGGCCGGGGCUGGGUGGGGGGAUCCGGUGGUUCCACAUGGUGCAGUUCUGCGCUUUGGCCACCAGAUGGCAGCCGAAGCUAAGGGAUGGGGCUGCCGUCUCCCGUCUUGCUGUCCUUGUCCCGGUAAGACCGGGGACCCUGGACCAGGGAACCGACGGAGGGCCACUCCCAUGUGGAUGCCCAAGGGACCAACCCAAGAAAGAUGCCGCCCUUAUCCUCCUCCACUCCCCGCUAUGAAAUGGCCACCUCACGGGGCAUCAUGGGAAUCAAAGUGUCUGCAGGCAAAGCUCAUAACUCCGAGCGGGAGCCUCCAAACAGCAGCAUCCUAGCAGGGUGGCGUGCACGUACCUUGCUGAUGUCAGGGGACCUGGAACGACCACCCUCUGCAUCGCCGAAGGCUUUGGUGAUAGCGAACUGGAUGGCCAGGCCGGUCAUGGUGCCUGUGGACAGCGGCUGGAUACGGCGCACAGCCUGCAGCAGUGCGGCCUUGGAGACAUGAGCCCGCAGCGAGAACUCCUGCUUCACGGUGCUGGCAUAGUUGACCAUGCCCACCCGGGUGGCAUUGGGCCCCACGUCCAGCGACUCGAUGACCUGGGACAGGAAUACCUUCACUUUCUCAAAUUCAACAGGCCGAACGCUGCGAGAGCUGUCGACAACAAACACCAGGGUCACACAAGGGCCAUCCACGGUGACCAGCGGUGAGAAACGCAAUGCUGUCCUCGUGCCAUGCUGGAGGUGAACGAGGAGAACGUGAGCUGGGGUCUCCUCACCAACUGCUCCCCCCACCCCAACCCCCCUGACGGCCAGGGCUGUGUCCAGGGCUCAGGGCACAAGGCUCCGUUAGCUGGGCAGCAGCUGGCCCAUGAAACAGCCCUUUCAGCUCCACCUCUGAAUGGCAGUUCUAUGGGCUCCUCGGAAGAACACAGGCGCCUUCUCUGUGUCACUUCUCCGCUCAUUAGCAGAGCUGCAGAAAUACACUACAGGACUCAAAAUUGAGAACAGUGUGUCCGGUAUGAGCCAGAAGGAAAAAAAAAUGCACGAAGGGGCCUUCUGCAAGGUUGCUCACAAGUCAAACAGGCAGCUGUGAAGGGCUCUGCUGUUCCCUCCUCCUGUUUUCACAUCCCUCGGGCUUCCAGAAACUUAAAGCCGUUAGUGUUUCAUGCAAGAGAGAGCAUCUGUGAUCCACGGAGAGGCCCCUGGGCAGUGUGGUUCAGUGGGAAGCACACAGGACUCCCUCCCCAGUGCUCCCAGGAUCAGCUCUUUCCCUAAAGAGCAAACCUGGUUAUCUCGCAAUGACCUAGCUAACACAAAUGCAACAUCAGCCGGGGCAGCCUGCCCCCUUCACUCUUUGCCCACCAUCAGCUGUUUGGCAGUAUCCAUAUACGCCUUUACCAGUAUUUAUUUAAUCUUUUUGUUUAAUUCACUCUAAACCAACUCACUUCUUAAAAAUUUCUCUGCCUUAUAAGAAAUAAUAGCCAUGAAAUCACUGGUUUGAUGUACGGUUUAUUUAUUUAUUCCAAUAAACACUCAUUCAAUAUAAAAUUCAAAUAAAUUCAAAACUAAUUAAA
rnacentral:lncRNA from 1 species